GGGUUGUGAGGUUAAGCGACUAAGCGUACACGGUGGAUGCCCUGGCAGUCAGAGGCGAUGAAGGACGUGCUAAUCUGCGAUAAGCGUCGGUAAGGUGAUAUGAACCGUUAUAACCGGCGAUUUCCGAAUGGGGAAACCCAGUGUGAUUCGUCACACUAUCAUUAACUGAAUCCAUAGGUUAAUGAGGCGAACCGGGGGAACUGAAACAUCUAAGUACCCCGAGGAAAAGAAAUCAACCGAGAUUCCCCCAGUAGCGGCGAGCGAACGGGGAGCAGCCCAGAGCCUGAAUCAGUGUGUGUGUUAGUGGAAGCGUCUGGAAAGGCGCGCGAUACAGGGUGACAGCCCCGUACACAAAAAUGCACAUACUGUGAGCUCGAUGAGUAGGGCGGGACACGUGGUAUCCUGUCUGAAUAUGGGGGGACCAUCCUCCAAGGCUAAAUACUCCUGACUGACCGAUAGUGAACCAGUACCGUGAGGGAAAGGCGAAAAGAACCCCGGCGAGGGGAGUGAAAAAGAACCUGAAACCGUGUACGUACAAGCAGUGGGAGCACGCUUAGGCGUGUGACUGCGUACCUUUUGUAUAAUGGGUCAGCGACUUAUAUUCUGUAGCAAGGUUAACCGAAUAGGGGAGCCGAAGGGAAACCGAGUCUUAACUGGGCGUUAAGUUGCAGGGUAUAGACCCGAAACCCGGUGAUCUAGCCAUGGGCAGGUUGAAGGUUGGGUAACACUAACUGGAGGACCGAACCGACUAAUGUUGAAAAAUUAGCGGAUGACUUGUGGCUGGGGGUGAAAGGCCAAUCAAACCGGGAGAUAGCUGGUUCUCCCCGAAAGCUAUUUAGGUAGCGCCUCGUGAAUUCAUCUCCGGGGGUAGAGCACUGUUUCGGCAAGGGGGUCAUCCCGACUUACCAACCCGAUGCAAACUGCGAAUACCGGAGAAUGUUAUCACGGGAGACACACGGCGGGUGCUAACGUCCGUCGUGAAGAGGGAAACAACCCAGACCGCCAGCUAAGGUCCCAAAGUCAUGGUUAAGUGGGAAACGAUGUGGGAAGGCCCAGACAGCCAGGAUGUUGGCUUAGAAGCAGCCAUCAUUUAAAGAAAGCGUAAUAGCUCACUGGUCGAGUCGGCCUGCGCGGAAGAUGUAACGGGGCUAAACCAUGCACCGAAGCUGCGGCAGCGACGCUUAUGCGUUGUUGGGUAGGGGAGCGUUCUGUAAGCCUGCGAAGGUGUGCUGUGAGGCAUGCUGGAGGUAUCAGAAGUGCGAAUGCUGACAUAAGUAACGAUAAAGCGGGUGAAAAGCCCGCUCGCCGGAAGACCAAGGGUUCCUGUCCAACGUUAAUCGGGGCAGGGUGAGUCGACCCCUAAGGCGAGGCCGAAAGGCGUAGUCGAUGGGAAACAGGUUAAUAUUCCUGUACUUGGUGUUACUGCGAAGGGGGGACGGAGAAGGCUAUGUUGGCCGGGCGACGGUUGUCCCGGUUUAAGCGUGUAGGCUGGUUUUCCAGGCAAAUCCGGAAAAUCAAGGCUGAGGCGUGAUGACGAGGCACUACGGUGCUGAAGCAACAAAUGCCCUGCUUCCAGGAAAAGCCUCUAAGCAUCAGGUAACAUCAAAUCGUACCCCAAACCGACACAGGUGGUCAGGUAGAGAAUACCAAGGCGCUUGAGAGAACUCGGGUGAAGGAACUAGGCAAAAUGGUGCCGUAACUUCGGGAGAAGGCACGCUGAUAUGUAGGUGAAGUCCCUCGCGGAUGGAGCUGAAAUCAGUCGAAGAUACCAGCUGGCUGCAACUGUUUAUUAAAAACACAGCACUGUGCAAACACGAAAGUGGACGUAUACGGUGUGACGCCUGCCCGGUGCCGGAAGGUUAAUUGAUGGGGUUAGCGCAAGCGAAGCUCUUGAUCGAAGCCCCGGUAAACGGCGGCCGUAACUAUAACGGUCCUAAGGUAGCGAAAUUCCUUGUCGGGUAAGUUCCGACCUGCACGAAUGGCGUAAUGAUGGCCAGGCUGUCUCCACCCGAGACUCAGUGAAAUUGAACUCGCUGUGAAGAUGCAGUGUACCCGCGGCAAGACGGAAAGACCCCGUGAACCUUUACUAUAGCUUGACACUGAACAUUGAGCCUUGAUGUGUAGGAUAGGUGGGAGGCUUUGAAGUGUGGACGCCAGUCUGCAUGGAGCCGACCUUGAAAUACCACCCUUUAAUGUUUGAUGUUCUAACGUUGACCCGUAAUCCGGGUUGCGGACAGUGUCUGGUGGGUAGUUUGACUGGGGCGGUCUCCUCCUAAAGAGUAACGGAGGAGCACGAAGGUUGGCUAAUCCUGGUCGGACAUCAGGAGGUUAGUGCAAUGGCAUAAGCCAGCUUGACUGCGAGCGUGACGGCGCGAGCAGGUGCGAAAGCAGGUCAUAGUGAUCCGGUGGUUCUGAAUGGAAGGGCCAUCGCUCAACGGAUAAAAGGUACUCCGGGGAUAACAGGCUGAUACCGCCCAAGAGUUCAUAUCGACGGCGGUGUUUGGCACCUCGAUGUCGGCUCAUCACAUCCUGGGGCUGAAGUAGGUCCCAAGGGUAUGGCUGUUCGCCAUUUAAAGUGGUACGCGAGCUGGGUUUAGAACGUCGUGAGACAGUUCGGUCCCUAUCUGCCGUGGGCGCUGGAGAACUGAGGGGGGCUGCUCCUAGUACGAGAGGACCGGAGUGGACGCAUCACUGGUGUUCGGGUUGUCAUGCCAAUGGCACUGCCCGGUAGCUAAAUGCGGAAGAGAUAAGUGCUGAAAGCAUCUAAGCACGAAACUUGCCCCGAGAUGAGUUCUCCCUGACUCCUUGAGAGUCCUGAAGGAACGUUGAAGACGACGACGUUGAUAGGCCGGGUGUGUAAGCGCAGCGAUGCGUUGAGCUAACCGGUACUAAUGAACCGUGAGGCUUAACCUUACAACGCCGAAG
rnacentral:rRNA from 1 species